GUGGAUUCUCAAGCGUGAGGUAAGAGCAUUUGGUGGAUGCCUUGGCAUGUACAGGCGAAGAAGGACGUGGCACGCUGCGAUAAGCGUCGGGGAGUUGUGAGCAAACUUUGAUCCGGCGAUUUCCGAAUGGGGAAACCCACCUUCACCAUUUCUUUCAUGGUCUGCAUUACGCAGGCUGCGAGAGAGGUGGAUAAGGUAUCACCGAACUGAAUAUAUAGGUUUGGUGAAGCGAACCCGGGGAACUGAAACAUCUCAGUACCCGGAGGAAAAGACAUCAACAGAGAUUCCCGUAGUAGUGGCGAGCGAACCGGGACCAGGCCAGUGCCAUCGUUUCAACUAGCAAAACAUUCUGGAAAGUUUGGCCAUAGCGGGUGACAGCCCCGUAUGCGAAAGUGAUGAUGAUGGACUUGAGUAGGGCGGGACACGUGUAAUCCUGUCUGAACAUGGGGGGACCACCCUCCAAGCCUAAAUACUCGUACAUGACCGAUAGCGAACACAGUACCGUGAGGGAAAGGUGAAAAGCACCCCGAUUAGGGGAGUGAAACAGUACCUGAAACCGGAUGCUUACAAGCAGUUGGAGCCCCAUAGGGGGUGACAGCGUACCUCUUGCAUAAUGGGUCAGUGACUUAAUUUAUCGAGCAAGCUUAAGCCGUUAGGUGUAGGCGCAGCGAAAGCGAGUCUGAAUAGGGCGACAGAGUUCGAUGAAUUAGACCCGAACCCCGGCGAUCUAGGCAUGGCCAGGUUGAAGGUGCGGUAACACGCACUGGAGGACCGAACCGGUGAAUGUUGAAAAAUUCUCGGAUGAGCUGUGUUUAGGGGUGAAAGGCCAAUCAAGCCGGGAAAUAGCUGGUUCUCCGCGAAAUCUAUUGAGGUAGAGCGUCGGAUGUAUGCCGAUGGGGGUAGAGCACUGGAUGGGCUAGGGCUGCGCGAGCGGUACCAAACCUAACCAAACUCCGAAUACCAUCGAGUCUUAUCCGGCAGACAGACGGCGGGUGCUAAGGUCCGUCGUCAAAAGGGAAACAGCCCUAACCUACAGCUAAGGUCCCCAAGUCAUAUCUAAGUGGGAAAGCAUGUGGGAAUCCCAAAACAACCAGGAGGUUGGCUUAGAAGCAGCCAUCCUUUAAAGAAAGCGUAACAGCUCACUGGUCUAAAUAAGGGUUCCUGCGGCGAAGAUGUAACGGGGCUAAAGAUAUGCACCGAAGCUUAGGGUUGCAGUUUACUGCAGCGGUAGCGGAGCGUUCCGUAAGCGAGUGAAGGCGAAGGGUAACCGACGCUGGACGUAUCGGAAGUGCGAAUGCUGACAUGAGUAGCGACAAACAGGGUGAGAUGCCCUGUCGCCGAAAGACCAAGGGUUCCUGCGCAACGCUAAUCGGCGCAGGGUUAGCCGGCCCCUAAGACGAGCCCGAAGGGGGUAGUCGAUGGGAACCACGUAAAUAUUCGUGGGCCUGAAGAUGUGUGACGGAUCGUGGACGUUGUUUUCUCUUAUUGGAUUGAGAAGGCAGCCAAGCGGUUCCAGGAAAUAGCCUCUUCAUAUAGACCGUACCCGAAACCGACACAGGUGGUCAGGUAGAGUAUACCAAGGCGCUUGAGAGAAGUAUCCUGAAGGAACUCGGCAAAUUGCCUCCGUACCUUCGGAAGAAGGAGGCCCUGGAUCGAGGCAACUCUUUUCAGGGGGCACAGGCCAGGGGGUAGCGACUGUUUAGCAAAAACACAGGACUCUGCUAAGUCGGCUUCAAGACGACGUAUAGGGUCUGACGCCUGCCCGGUGCUGGAAGGUUAAGAGGAGGAGUGCAAGCUCCGAAUUGAAGCCCCAGUAAACGGCGGCCGUAACUAUAACGGUCCUAAGGUAGCGAAAUUCCUUGUCGGGUAAGUUCCGACCUGCACGAAUGGCGUAACGACUUCCCCACUGUCUCCAGGAUAUGCUCAGCGAAAUUGAAUUCUCCGUGAAGAUGCGGAGUACCCGCGGUUAGACGGAAAGACCCCGUGCACCUUUACUGCAGCUUCAGAGUGGCAUUAGGAAAGAGUUGUGUAGCAUAGGUGGGAGGCUUUGAAACUUGGGCGCCAGUCCAAGUGGAGCCAUAGGUGAAAUACCACCCUGCUGUUUUCUGAUGUCUAACCAACUACCGUUAUCCGGUAGUGGGACCCUCUGUGGCGGGUAGUUUGACUGGGGCGGUCGCCUCCUAAAGAGUAACGGAGGCGCGCGAUGGUAGGCUCAGGACGGUUGGAAACCGUCUGCAAGAGUGCAAUGGCAUAAGCCUGCCUGACUGCGAGACUGACGAGUCGAGCAGAGACGAAAGUCGGUCAUAGUGAUCCGGUGGUCCCUCGUGGAAGGGCCAUCGCUCAACGGAUAAAAGGUACGCCGGGGAUAACAGGCUGAUGAUUCCCAAGAGCUCAUAUCGACGGAAUCGUUUGGCACCUCGAUGUCGGCUCAUCACAUCCUGGGGCUGGAGCAGGUCCCAAGGGUUUGGCUGUUCGCCAAUUAAAGUGGUACGUGAGCUGGGUUCAGAACGUCGCGAGACAGUUUGGUCCCUAUCUGCCGUGGGCGUCGAUACUUGAAAGGAGUUGCCCCUAGUACGAGAGGACCGGGGUGAACGUACCUCUGGUGUACCUGUCAUCCUGCCAAGGGUGCCGCAGGGUAGCUAUGUACGGACGGGAUAACCGCUGAAAGCAUCUAAGCGGGAAGCCUCCCUUGAGAUUAGGUAUCUUCGAACCGUCGUAGACCACGACGUUGAUAGGCCGGGUGUGGAAGCGCAGUAAUGCGUGUAGCUAACCGGUCCUAAUAGUUCUUUUCGCGCUUG
rnacentral:rRNA from 1 species